GGGGCCGUAGUCUAGCCUGGCUAGGAUGCCAGCCUGGGGCGCUGGUGGUCCCGGGUUCAAAUCCCGGCGGCCCCA
rnacentral:tRNA from 1 species